rnacentral:lncRNA from 1 species
ACAACUGGUCAUUAAUUAAUCUAACUGGCUAAUUACAACCAAUGGAUCUCCUAAAUAGUCUACUUACAUAAUAGUUCAAACUAACUACCCACCAAUGCCCUUAAUUAUUUUUUAUCGUACCCCUUCAAUUUACCUAGCUAGUGUUGGCGCAGCUCUAGACUAGCUCUCUCAACUGAACGGGGGUGGAAGAAGAAGAAGACAACACUAGUUUCCGGCGAAGAACGCCCCCGCUGCCAUACAGCGUUUUUCUUUUCUCCUGCUCCAACUGGCUCCACAGCCUUUACAUCUCUUAAGUAGUGGGCACAUCAGCCGGCCACACCGGCCACUAAGUCACGCACGCACGACUUGGCCAUACAUCCAGCUAACAACUUAUGCAUGCAUGCCUGGUAGCACUAACAAACCCACCCAUGCAAACUGGACGCACGACCCCGGCAACAACCUACAAUUUUCAGCCGAUUUUGUAGCUGAUGAGGACGUAGCGCCCACGCACGCCACGGUCGCCACACGUUCUCAAGCCCAGCCACAGUUCGACUCAACCUAGACGCCUACACGCACACGCUAGUGACCACGCGCACACGUACACACACGUCACGCUGCUGCGUCCCACACGUCCCGUCAAUCCCGCGCGCCACCGACAUGCCCGACGAACCCGACGAGCCCGACGGCACCAGUUGUCCCGCCCGUCCCGCGCGCACCCGACGCGCCCGACGAACCCGACCAUACACGUCGUGGCUUAUUCCAACACACACCCCUAAGCCACGGCCUAGAGGAGUCCGUCGUCGUCAACGUUAGCACCGGCCAAGAGAGCCUGCUCCGCCGCCGGUCCUUUCCGCAGCUGCGGGCACUCGCGCUGGAAGUGCCCGUGCUCCCCGCACUUGUAGCAGCGCCUGCGCCUGUUGCCGCCGCUCCCCGACGCCACGCUGCGCCCGUCAUCGUCGUCCCGUGCUCCGCCUUGCUGCCGCUCCCACGCCCGCCACUUCGUCGCCGUGAACAGGAGCUGUCCAUUCGCCCGCUCGCCGUUGUCCUCCUGUCGACGCCGAACUCGCUCGUCGAACGCGCGCAGCCGCCCGAGCGCUUCAUCGAACGCCAUUGUCGUCACGUCGUGGAACUGCUCGAUGCCGGCGACGACGGGGAAGAGCCGGCCGAUCCGGCACCAUAUCCAGCAGCUUCUUGACGAGCGCCGCGUCGCCCAGCGUCUCCCCGAGGUUGGCAUACCUCGACGUCAUCGCCGCGAGCCUCCCGCCGUACACGUCGAGCUCCUCGCCGUCCGCCAUCUUCAGGCGGUCAAAUUCACCGCGCAGUGUCGCCAGCCUCGCCGCGCGGACCCGAUCGGCGCCGACGAACCUCACCUUCAGGGAGUCCCAUACCUCCCUGGCGGUGAUCUUCGUCGACACCUGCAGCAGCACAUCCUCCGGCAACGCCCCAAGAAGCAACGCGCGCGCUAUCUUGUCCUUCCGCGCGUUCACCGCCGCGUCGCCCGGUGCCACCGCCUCCCAUACGGUGUGGAUGUCGAGGAUCGCCUGCGCCUUGAUGGCCCAGACCGUGUAGUUGUCCGCGGUCAGCAUCGGCAUCGCCAUCGUCGCUGAUCCGCCCGCGCCGCCGCCGUGUGGGACGAGCGCCAUGGUCGCCGGUGAUCGCCCGGACUGAAGCUCUGUAUACCAAUUGUUGGCGCAGCUCUAGACUAGCUCUCUCAGCUGGACGGGGGUGAAAGAAGAAGAAGACAACACUAGUUUCCGGCGACGAACGCCCCCGCUGCCAUACAGCGUUUUUCUUUUCUCCUGCUCAACUGGUUCCACAGCCUUUACAUCUCUUAAGUAGUGGGCACAUCAGCCGGCCACACCGGCCACUAAGCCACGCACGCACGACUUGGCCAUACAUCCAGCUAACAACUUAUGCAUGCAUGCCUGGUAGCACUAACUAACCCACACAUGCAAACUGGACGCACGACGCCGGCAACAACCUACGAUUUUCAGCCGAUUUUGUAGCUGACGAGGACGUAGCGCCCACGCACGCCACGGUCGCCACACGUUCUCAAGCCCAGCCACAGUUCGACUCAACCUAGACGCCUACACGCACGCGCUAGUGACCACGCGCACACGUACACACACGCCACGCUGCUGCGUCCCACACGUCCCGUCCGUCCCGCGCGCCACUGACACGCCUGACAAACCCGACGAGCCCGACGGCACCAGUUAUCCUGCCCGUCCCGCGCGCACCCGACGCGCCCGACGAGUCUGACCACACACGCCGUGGCUUAUUCCAACAGCUAGAAAAAGUUAGGUUAUUAGGU